UUAAAUUCUAAGAUAAAUUUAAUCGCCUCAAAUCUUCUGCAAAUAUUUCUAAAUAUCAGACAGAUAUACACAUGAGAUCUCUGAUGCUGCACCACAAAUGUCUUGAAAGUCUUGUUCUGGAUAUAUUCUUGUUUCUGUUUGUUUUUAAAUGCAUGUAUAUGAAGGGUGAUCCUCUUACAGAACGUUUUUGAAGCGCUUGCCUCUCUAGUUAGAGAACACUUAUCAAGAACAGCUGCCGUAGUGCUGUGGAUCCUAUCCAUGGACUCAUGGUGGUCUGCUGAACAACGUUCUUCAAGUUUGACAGGUGAGACAGAGACUCUCCAGUGCCACUGCUUUUGGAUGAAUCUAGCUGUGGUUGGAGAAAGUGCAUCUUGCCAAAAUAUAUGGUGAAGGAGUACUGAAGGUGGAGAUGGAGGUGGAGAAGGAGUACUGAAGGUGGAGAGGAGAAAUGAAGAUACUGGAACAGGAUGAAGAAUCAGAAGAUGCGGCCCUUUCCCUGGGGACAGCAAACAUAGGAGAAAAUUGCCCUCUGGUCUCCAAGGCCAUGUGAGCCCCAGUUUGCUCUGAAAUAGCAAACUGUUCAGAAGUGCCCAGCUGUGCUCAGUGUGGUGUUGAGCUCCUUUGGAGGGAAUUGGUCUGUCUAUGCAUAGCACUUAAAAUGGCCUGUGGAGGUGUGCCUGAAGAAUUCUAGAACCUGGGGGAUGUUGGAAAGAUUAUGGGAGAUGUUUGUAUGAGAUUUCCAAUGCCUGGUGUGUUGUGUCGUGAAGAGUUGGUUGAUUUUUCACUUCAGGAGGAGAAAGCAAUCAGCAUUUACAGUCUGUUCAGUGUUGGCCAGAUAAGCAGGUGUCAGUUCGUUUUAAUACACAUUUUUUGUCAUGCCCUCAGUAACAGACUGCUUUGUAACUGAAGGGUGGUAAUGGAGAAGAAAAAUAAAAAUGAAUUGCAAUCAUUCCUUCCACUCAUACCUCUUCCUCCUCUGACCUUCCAACCUCAAAAGCGAGGAAGCUGGGCUGUUUUUAGAGAGACCCUGUGGUUUGGUUGCCAGAAUCCAGACCUGUAGCUUGUAAGAUAAAUAAUGCAAGCUUUGAGGAAAUAUUCUGUGUGGAUAGGAUAGUAUAUGUGUUGCUUGUUAAUACUUAGCUAUUUUAUUACUUUAACCAUUUAUUUCUGUUCUCUUUAGAUGGAUAAUUAAUAAUUUGGUUUUAGAAGAUAAAUCACUGCCUAUAUUUGUUGGCUACAUGAGGGAAGUGUCUAGGAAGCAAUCAAAGGAAUCACUUCUAUGGAAUAUUGACUUUUGGAUAAACAGGGUUGUUUUAACAUGGAGACCCAGCCCAUAAUGAAAGUAAAUUGUUACAUUUCCAUUUCAGAACACAGGUUCUGGGUCUCCUGCUUGGCUGUAUUUAGUCUGAGGGGUCAGAGGCGCUAAGCAGAAUAAAUCCUGUUUUGGCACAAAAUGAUGCAGAUGGACUGGGUAUUGCCUAUUUGAGGAUAAGUUGUAGGUAUGAAUGGGCAACUCAGUUCUUUUUGGAGCUGAAUGGCCAAACUCCGUUGGUGAGUGGAAUAGGAGCAUGUUGGAACAGGAGCACUAAAACCCAGUGUUUUUGGAAAAUUCUGCCAUGUAGUCACAAGUCAAUCCAGCCUGAAAAAGAGGUAGUGUUUGCUUGUAUUUUCUAAAUUCUCCCUUGUAAUCAUUCUGCUUUUGGAGCAGUGUUUCAGUUGUUCCAGGCCUAAAAAGACUCUGGAAUCAAGGUUAUUACUGUCUGAAGAUUAGUUCAAGAAGCAAAGCAAUCUCUCUUUCAUGUACCUGCCUAUCGCACAUCGUGUUAAUUGGUUAAUAUUUGCAUUUUAAAGAAAUCUUUAUUUGAGGCGUAUGGGAUCUGCAUUCUAGAUUAUUUCCAAUAAAACGUACUUUGUACUAAAAUCUAUUAGAUGAGGUUGGCUGCAUGAGUUCUGUCCUCUGUGACACUUGUCUCCUCUGGAUUCCAUAGUCUGUAAUUGUGAUGCCAGAGCAGCUCCUUGUAGCCAGACUCUUGGUGUAUUUUGGGAACCCAUGGGGAUGUAAGGCUUGAGGCUACCAGACUGUUUCUUAAGCUCAAGCAGUGCUCUGGGCAGUUGCUGCUUUGCCAAAACCAAUGCUGAAGGAAAUGUGGCUUUUCAUGAGCCAGAGUUGAUUCCCAUGACAUGGGCUUGGGUGUUGGGCCCUCAGAAAUAACUGUAAUCUCUGAAAGGUGUAAACUGUAAAACAUCUGUCUUUCAUAGUUUGUGCCUCUAUAUCUACAUAGUAGAGUAUGUCUAAUUUUAAGAACAAACUUUCAUAAUUGGAAUUUGGGAGUACCACACAAUAUUCAAUUUAUUUUGUCAUCAUUAUUCUGCUCAUUUGGUAAAAUUACUGAUUUCUCUUUCUUAAAAAUCUUUUAAAUCACUUUUUAAAUUUUUUAAAAAAUUUUUAUUUCUUUUUUUAAAUGAACAUCUAAAUGUUUUGUUGCUUUUUAACUCCAGGUAGUUGUGCCCAGUGUGAGUUUGAAGCAGCUUUGCAGCUGAAUGUUUAUAUUUCACUUUUGGGAAAAAUUAUACCAGUCUGUUCAGAAAUGGAGUAUUUGCAGUAGUAAGUGGCAUCCUUACAAACUAAACAUAAUGAUCAAAGAGCUGAAGAAAUAACAAAUUUAGUUGUCUUUUGGACAAAAUUACAAUGGAAUAGCCUUUGGUUUGUCAUUUAGCUUCAGCAUGAUUUAUUUUUCUUCUCUUUUAAUUGAAGAACAAAUCCAAUUCAUAACUGAAUGCAAUUCAAUCUUCUCAUUUUCUGAUGUGGGUAGAAAAUAUCUGUUUUAUCUGUGCAUAGAAGCUACAGUAAUUCAAGCUUUAUUUUUCCUUUUGAAUAACUGAAAUAAACUUAAAGAGCCAGA